CAUGUUGCCUCUCGUGCUGCUCGCCGGCCUGGCGUGCGCGCGCGCGCACCCCGCAGAAUUUUCAGGAGAGGUGCCAUUCAAAUAUGCAAGUAAAAACAAGAGCGUUAGAGUUCUGGGAGUCCCAGAGCUGCCCCGCGGCUGCAUGUACGAGGGCCGCUGGUUCACGGAGGGCGCGGCGGUGGCGACG